CGCGAGCCGCGCGGCGCGGAGCAAACAGCGCCGAGCCGCCGCCGCCUCAGCAGCACAGCAGCAGCAGCAGCAGCGGCCGUGCACGCCCGGGCUGCGGUCGCAGCAGCGCUAACGUGAGCGCCCGCCGCCGCCCUCGCCACCCCGCCUGCCCACUCCCGCCGCCGCCCGGCUCUCGCUUUCUCCCGGGCCUCCCCUCGCCCCUUCCCCUCCCCCUUCCCGGCACACUCGGGGGGCUGGGAACGAGCUGCCAUGUGAUGCGCGUCCCCUCCGCGAGCUUUCGGUGACCCCCGAACCGCCCACCGCGCCGGCUGCCGGGAGGGGGCCGCGGGCUGGGAAGACGCAGGGAAGAGGAGGCUUUUGGAAAAGGACGCAAAGUUCUCAGUCGAGUGCAGCUAUCUGCUUCAGGAAGUGAGGGCUCCUGGAACAAGGAGAAUCUUCAAGAGCUGCCUCGCAUUGUGACAUGUCUGAUCCCUUGCUCCAAUCCCUGCGGCAUGAACAAGGUGGAGACUCACUGAUCUAUUACAAAUUUGCCCCGUUGAGCUUUGGGGUCCAUGUCUGAAUGGAUUGCUGUAGCCUUCUCAUCUCUCUCUUCACCCAGUUCCCUGCAUCCUAAGACUCGAAGCCAGGACAGAACCUGGAAAAAUUAUAUGUAAGUUUUACUAAGGUUUCUUUUCCCUAACUAAGCAAUGGUAAAUAUUUUCUUAGGUUAGUAACAAAUGCUUAAGCACACAUGAAUUACCUUUCUUUUAACAAAUUAGAAUUAAGGUGAGGAGCUAGGGUUGGAAUCUGCAUAUUGGUGAUUUCUUAACUCACAAGUUGUUAGCUUUAGCUUGCAUGAGAAUCACCCAGAGGCUUGUUAAACUUCAGAUUGUUAGGCCUCAGGCCCAGAGUUUCUGAUUCAGUGAAUCUGGUGUGGGCCAGAAAUUUGCUUUUCUAACAAGUUUUCAAGUGAUGCCCAUGUAUCUAGUCCAAGGACCCAC